UAGCGAAAGCGAGUUUUAACUGAGCGUUCAGUUACUUGACGUAGACCCGAAACCGGGCGACCUACCCAUGAGCAGGAUGAAGCGAAAGUAAAAUUUCGUGGAGGUCCGAACCCACGAGCGUUGAAAAGCUCGGGGAUGACUUGUGGGUAGCGGUGAAAUUCCAAUCGAGCCCGGAGAUAGCUGGUUCUCCCCGAAAUAGCUUUAGGGCUAGCCUCAAGGUGAGAGAUACGGAGGUAGAGCACUGAAUGUCCUAGGGGGUAUUGCACCUACCGAAGACUAUCAAACUCCGAAUGCCGUCAUCUUAUACUUGGGAGUCAGACUGUGGGUGAUAAGAUUCAUAGUCGAAAGGGCAACAGCCCAGAUCGUCAGCUAAGGUCCCUAAAUGUAAGUUAAGUGGUAAAGGAUGUGGGAUUGCACAGACAACCAGGAUGUUGGCUUAGAAGCAGCCACUCAUUCAAAGAGUGCGUAAUAGCUCACUGGUCGAGUGAUCCUGCGCCGAAGAUUUCCGGGGCUAAAACUUACUACCGAAGCUACGGCAUCAGUAAUGAUGGGUAGGGGAGCUUCCCAUACGGGUUGAAGCAUGACCGUAAGGACAUGUGGACAGUAUGGGAGUGAGAAUGUUGGCAUGAGUAGCGAGAUGUGGGUGAGAAUCCCACAGGCCGUAAACCCAAGGUUUCCAGGGGAAGGUUCGUCCGCCCUGGGUUAGUCGGGACCUAAGCUGAGGCCGAAAGGCGUAGGUGAUGGACAACAGGUUGAUAUUCCUGUACUACCGAUAACCGUUUGAGAGAAGGGAUGACACAGUAGGAUAAGCUAAGCACACUGUUGGUUAUGUGUGCCCAAGCAUUGAGGCAGUCAAAGUAGGUAAAUCCGCUUUGAUAAUGCUGGGAUGUGAUGGGGAGCGAAAUUUAGUAGCGAAGUAGCUGAUUUCACACUGUCAAGAAAAGUCUCUAUCGAGGUUAAAGGUACCCGUACCGCAAACCGACACAGGUGGGUGAGGAGAGUAUCCUAAGGCCAGCGAGAGAACUGUUGUUAAGGAACUCGGCAAAAUGACCCCGUAACUUAGGGAUAAGGGGUGCCACCAUCAGGUGGCCGCAGAGAAUAGGCCCAAGCGACUGUUUACCAAAAACAUAGGUUUCUGCUAAGUCGCAAGACGAUGUAUAGGAGCUGACGCCUGCCCGGUGCUGGAAGGUUAAGGGGAUCUGUUAGAGCAAUCGAAGCAGUGAACUUAAGCCCCAGUAAACGGCGGCCGUAACUAUAACGGUCCUAAGGUAGCGAAAUUCCUUGUCGGGUAAGUUCCGACCCGCACGAAAGGCGUAACGAUUUGGGCACUGUCUCAACAACAGACUCGGUGAAAUUGUAAUUCCGGUGAAGAUGCCGGAUACCUGCGACAGGACGGAAAGACCCCAUGGAGCUUUACUGUAGCUUGACAUUGGGUCUUGGUACUACAUGUACAGGAUAGGUGGGAGGCUUUGAAACCAGGACGCCAGUUUUGGCGGAGCCAUCCUUGGGAUACCACCCUUGUAGUACUGGGACUCUAACCAUAGGCCAUGAAUCUGGUCUUGGGACACUGUCAGGUGGGCAGUUUGACUGGGGCGGUCGCCUCCCAAAAGGUAACGGAGGCGCUCAAAGGUUCUCUCAGUACGGUCGGAAAUCGUACGUAGAGUGUAAAGGCAAAAGAGAGCUUGAUUGCAAGACAUACAGGUCGAGCAAGGAUGAA
rnacentral:rRNA from 1 species